UACGAAGGGGGCUAGCGUUGCUCGGAAUCACUGGGCGUAAAGCGCACGUAGGCGGAUUGUUAAGUCAGGGGUGAAAUCCUGGAGCUCAACUCCAGAACUGCCUUUGAUACUGGCGAUCUCGAGUCCGGGAGAGGUGAGUGGAACUGCGAGUGUAGAGGUGAAAUUCGUAGAUAUUCGCAAGAACACCAGUGGCGAAGGCGGCUCACUGGCC
rnacentral:rRNA from 1 species